GAUGAACGCUGGCGGCGUGCCUAAUACAUGCAAGUCGAGCGAACAGACGAGGAGCUUGCUCCUCUGACGUUAGCGGCGGACGGGUGAGUAACACGUGGAUAACCUACCUAUAAGACUGGGAUAACUUCGGGAAACCGGAGCUAACCCGGUAGAAUCUAUUGACCCACUGGGUGCAUUGGAAAAGUACGGUUUUUGGGUACUUAUUGGCGGGUUCUCGGCGUAUUGGUUGGGUGGUUGGGUAACGGGUUUCCAAGGCAAAGAGGGGUUGACGAACGGAGUGGGUGAUCGGCCGCACUGGAACGGGGACACGGACCAGACUCCUACGGGAGGCAGCAGUAGGGAAUCUGCCGCAAUGGGCGAAAGCAUGACGGAGCAACGCCGCGUGAGUGAUGAAGGUCUUCGGAUCGUAAAACUCUGUUAUGAGGGAAGAACAAAUGUGUAAGUAACUAUGCACGUCUUGACGGUACCUAAUCAGAAAGCCACGGCUAACUACGUG
rnacentral:rRNA from 1 species